GAUCCUGGCUCAGGACGAACGCUGGCGGCGUGCUUAACACAUGCAAGUCGAACGAAGAGCGAUGGAAGCUUGCUUCUAUCAAUCUUAGUGGCGAACGGGUGAGUAACGCGUAAUCAACCUGCCCUUCAGAGGGGGACAACAGUUGGAAACGACUGCUAAUACCGCAUACGAUCCAAUUUCGGCAUCGAGGAUGGAUGAAAGGUGGCCUCUAUUUAUAAGCUAUCACUGAAGGAGGGGA
rnacentral:rRNA from 1 species